ACAAAAUACAACACAAAUGUUAUCUAUCUACACAACAUAAAAAUCCAAACAAUUAUAUAAAUGCAAUUAGAGGAGAGAUUAUUUUAGAAGGUCUGGGCCUGAGCCAUUUAGGGCUUUAAAUGUAAGUACCUUGAACUGGCCUGGAAACAAGAAUGUGUUUUCUUGUAUAGCAAAGUUGUUAAAUACAGAACCUGCAAACAUGUACAAUGAGCACCUGGGAUCUCCCUCUGACCCUUGUGAGGAGAGAGGGAAGUUCCAUUGUGCAAGCGGAGAUUUUUGUGCUAGAGCAGGGCUGUUCAGCAUUAGCAGCAGCAGCAGUAGUAGUAGUAAUUAAAUUUGUAUACCAUGCAGCCCUCAAAGCCUUUCUCGGCAGCCCUCAGCAACAUUUGACAACACCCUUCCCCCCUGCAGCCCUUGUGCUGCUUUCCCAAAGGCGGGUAAAGAGGCACUGGGUUUGGGAAGGAGGUGUGAGGGAUCUAGGACCCUGCCAGAGUCUCACACCUAGGGGUGCCAUAUUUCAAACUGAAAAUUGGGACAGAAAAGUUGGUGAGCAAAAUUAGCCGUUCUUGAUCUAUUUUUAUGGGAAAUCGGCAAAAGCAGCACUGCCGACAUGGGCUUCCAUAUGUCCGGAUUUUCCCAGACAUUUUUCCUAUUUCCUACACUGCUGCCAACUGCAGUAUUCCAGAUAUGCCUGAGAAAUCCUGGACAUGUGGCAACCGUACUCAUGCCUCCUUCCCAAAGCCCAGCACUUCACUUAGCCAGCUUUGGGAAGGCAGCACAAGGGCUAGAUGGUGGCAUCAGAUUUCGCCUCUGUUUGAUUCCAUUCCAUAUAUUUUAUUUUACUGUGGAAUAGUUUGCAAAGAGACAGGCACCAUGCUUCAUAAAAAGCAGGUAUUUUUUAAAAAUCCAGGAAAACCAACCAAGCUGUAAUAUAAAGGAUUAAAACAACAGCAACCAUUGAAUGCUAAAUUGUACCUGAAUGUUUAUCUGGUCUAUUAAGUGAUUCCCAUCAGAAUUACUGGUGUCAAAGCUUUGCCCAUGAAAAUGGCCAUCAUAUAACUGAUAAACAGUUCAAUUGAAAGAAUAACAGCACCACGCACUAUAGCUGUAAUUCUCCUUUAAAAUCAAUCGAAAUAAGAGUGUUCUUCUAUAUGGAGGACAUGAUGAUCUAGCAGAGGGGGAAAUCCCAUCUCGGUUGCUUAAGGUUUCUUAUUAAAUCUGGGGGAAAAUAACUGCAUUAUUUUAAUUCAGCUCUGCCCAUUUUCCAGAAGUGCUGCACUUAUUGCAUUAAUCUUCAGAGCGAAGUUUUUACGACUGAUUGCCUGCAGAGUAUGAGAAGUUUCGCCAUCCAUUAACCACAGAGAAACGGGCCCUGCAGGGUAGGAAAAUAUUUGUUACAUCUUAUCAGGGUGACACAUAAUCUAACAACAAUUACAGCAGGCCCAUAUUUUGUACUAUUUCAGUUUCGGUGUGAAAAAUAGUUCUAAUAUUAAACCCGGGGUGGAUGGGAGCUGCAGGAACCAGUUGAAUAUUAUAAGCUCAGCAGUGGUGAUUUCCCUUCAGGUUGUGGGUCUCGUCAUUACUGGGAUACGGCCCUAAGGAAGUGACUACACAUAAAUCCAGUGUACGUGCCCCCUAUGCAAAUGGCACAGUGUGCACUGGCAAAGCAGCUUGAAGGAUGAUUGCAUCCAUAUCAAUAUGAAGUGCUGAAAUUGCAUUCUCCCCAUGCUUGAUGUUUUUGUUAAUGUAAAAGCUUUUCGAGGCACUUCAGGUCACUCUCAUUCUUCCAAAGGUUAAAAAUGCAGAAGAAGUGUUUCAGCCUUACCAAGAGAGAGAGAGAGAGAGAAGCUACAACAAAAGUGCAGGUUACCAUAAAAGGUUUGCAAUAUUAUAUAUUAAUAUGCAAAAUUAAAUUGUUCAAAAUUCGGCUCUGCUAUCCAAAUCCGAUCCUGCAUUUAAGCAUAGCAGGGACAAAAAUUUGUGACAGGUUUGAUUUAUCUUUUAGACAGUAUUCACACACUGGUUUGGAUCCCAACCUCUGUGAGCAAAGAACACUUCCUCUUGCAGACUCCUAGCACAGAAACACACAAAAAAACAAACCCAGAUUGGCACAGACUGGGACAUUUUACUGGCAGAAAUUCAGGACCUCCCCAAAUACAAGCAGAAGUGCCUUUCUGAUCACUUGAAGGCACUUUUGGAAUCCACGCCUAUUGUGUUCAGUGGAGUUUGUAAAGCUGGCUGUUUGGAUAAUAACCAUCUAAACACAGUGGAGGCUGGUUCAUUUGGACAAAUGGGGCACCAACCUUGGUCUGCCUUCAGCCAGUCCACUCCCACCUGCCUUCUCAUCCAGUCUAGGGAGUGGCACUGGCGCCCAGCAUCCUCUUCCUUAGUCCCAGAGCUGUCUCCGUAAUAGCUCAGUAAGGAGGAGGAUGGUGGCAAUACUUGCACUAGUUGGCUCUGCCUAUCAUUGGCUGUGACUCCACCUUGUUGAACUCUCUGCCUUCUGCCCUAUCAAUCCCAAUGAACACUGGCCACCAUGGUCAAAUGCAUUCUACUGCACCCAGGUAGGAUUUUGUUUCACUUGCUCAAUUUGUGCCCUGCCUUUUUUGGUGCAGUAAGGUAAGGCAAAAAGGUAAAGGACCCCUGGAUACUUAAGUCCAGUCAAAGGUGGCUGGGGUGCGGUGCUCAUCUCACUUCAGGCCAAGGGAGCCACUGUUUGUCCACAGACAGCUUUCCGGGUCAUGUGGCCAGCAUGACUAAACUGCUACUGGUGCACGGAGGACUGUGACGAGUGCCAGAGCGCACUGAAACACCCUUUACCUUCCCUCCACAGUGGUACCUAUUUAUCCACUUGCACUGGUGUGCUUUCAAACUGCUAGGUUGGCAGAAGCUGGGACAGAGCAACAGGAGCUCACCCCCUCACGUGGAUUUGAACCACUGACCUGAUCAACAAGCC